CAGUUAAGAAAAAGAAGCCUAAACUAUUAAAUAAAUUUGAUAAGACUAUUAAAGCUGAACUUGAUGCUGCAGAAAAACUCCGUAAAAGGGGAAAAAUUGAGGAAGCAGUGACUGCAUUUGAAGAACUAAUUCGUAAAUACCCCCAGAGUCCACGGGCGAGAUAUGGGAAGGCACAGUGUGAAGACGAUUUGGCUGAGAAGAGGAGGAGCAAUGAGGUGCUGCGCAGGGCCAUCGAGACCUACCAAGAGGUGGCCAGCCUGCCCGACGUCCCCGCCGACCUGGUGAAGCUGAGUUUGAAGCGGCGGUCAGACAGACAACAGUUUCUAGGUAAGAUG